UCUCUCUCUCUCUCUCUCUCUCUCUCUCUCUCUCUCUCUCUCUCUCUCUCUCUCUCUCUCUCUCUAUAAAUAUACACAUUUAUGGGUAUUAUUUAUGUAGUUAAACUUGAUUUGAAGUGAUGAAUGUUGUGUUCUGUUCUGUUUGAAUAUCAUAUUGUUUGUUUAACUACUAAUAUAGAAAGAUUAGCUUGAGGUUGAGUCUCCACUCCAUCGUCUUCUCUUCUCUUCGACAAGUUAGCCUUGACUCACUCUCCAAAAUAUCAUAAUCAUCAUUGUCUUCUUUCGCUUUUGAUCUAAUAAAGUCCAUCUGCUUUAUCUUUUUCUCCAAUAAUUUCAUCGACCCGGAGCUUCCUCCUUUUAUUCUCCAGUGUCCCAGAUGAUGAGAAGGAUGAAUGGCGAGACUCCUGAUUGAUGACUCUCUUUAGUACACAGCUCGGGAAAGAGUUAGAAAGAUCAUGUUUAUUCACUUUAAAAUAAUUUGUAGGACAAUAUAUAUUGCCUUUGACAUUCAGUAGUAUACAAAUUAUAAUCUUUUAGAUCUGGUAUAAUGUGUUAUGCUCAUAAUUUUGUAAACAAUUGUUUUGAGCAUAAAUAUGGGUAUUGGACAUGAAUACUUAUACUUUUUGUAGUGAUAUUUUAUGUAUGGACAAUAUUUAAUCUUAUUAAUUAAAAAAUUAUAAUGUCAGGUGUUUUUUUAGGAAAAUUA